rnacentral:rRNA from 1 species
GACGAACGCUGGCGGCGUGCUUAACACAUGCAAGUCGAACGAAGUGGCGAACGGGUGAGUAACGCGUAAUCAACCUGCCCAUCAGAGGGGGACAACAGUUUGAAACGAAUGCUAAUACCGCAUACUGAAGGAGGGGAUUGAGUCUGAUUAGCUAGUUGGAGGGGUAAAGGCCCACCAAGGCGAUGAUCAGUAGCCGGUCUGAGAGAAUGAACGGCCACAUUGGGACUUCGACACGGCCCAGACUCCUACGGGAGGCAGCAGUUGGGAAUCGUCCGCAAUGGACGAAAGUCGGACGGAGCAACGCCGCGUGAGUGAUGACGGCCUUCGGGUUGUAAAGCUCUGUUAAUCGGGACGCGGUACCGGAAUAGAAAGCCACGGCUAACUACGUGCCAGCAGCCGCGGUAAUUC